rnacentral:rRNA from 1 species
GACGAACGCUGGCGGCGUGCUUAACACAUGCAAGUCGAACGGUGAAGGGGUCUGCUUUUGUGGGCCCUGGAUGAGUGGCGAACGGGUGAGUAACACGUGAGUAACCUGCCCCCUUCUUCUGGAUAACCGCAUGAAAGUGUGGCUAAUACGGGAUAUUCUGGUCUGUCGCAUGAUGGGUCUGGGAAAGAUUGCGCCUUUGGGUGUUUUUGGUGGGGGAUGGGCUCGCGGCCUAUCAGCUUGUUGGUGGGGUGAUGGCCUACCAAGGCGGUGACGGGUAGCCGGCCUGAGAGGGUGGACGGUCACACUGGGACUGAGACACGGCCCAGACGCCUACGGGAGGCAGCAGUGGGGAAUAUUGCACAAUGGGCGCAAGCCUGAUGCAGCGACGCCGCGUGAGGGAUGGAGGCCUUCGGGUUGUAAACCUCUUUCGCCAGUGAAGCAGGCCUGCUCCUUGUGGGUGGGUUGACGGUAGCUGGAUAAGAAGCGCCGGCUAACUACGUG